rnacentral:rRNA from 1 species
UACGUAGGGUGCGAGCGUUAAUCGGAAUUACUGGGCGUAAAGCGUGCGCAGGCGGCUUUGCAAGACAGAUGUGAAAUCCCCGGGCUCAACCUGGGAACUGCAUUUGUGACUGCAAGGCUAGAGUACGGCAGAGGGGGAUGGAAUUCCGCGUGUAGCAGUGAAAUGCGUAGAUAUGCGGAGGAACACCAAUGGCGAAGGCAAUCCCCUGGGCCUGUACUGACGCUCAUGCAGGAAAGCGUGGGGAGCAAACAGG